UACGUAGGGGGCAAGCGUUGUCCGGAUUUAUUGGGCGUAAAGAGCGUGUAGGCGGCCUGAAAGGUCAGCUGUGAAAACUCGAGGCUCAACCUCGAGACGUCGGUUGAAACCAUCUGGCUAGAGUCCGGAAGAGGAGUGUGGAAUUCCCGGUGUAGCGGUGAAAUGCGCAGAUAUCGGGAAGAACACCCGUGGCGAAGGCGGCACUCUGGGACGGCACUGACGCUGAGACGGCGAAAAGCGUGGGGAGCGAACAGG
rnacentral:rRNA from 1 species